UCUGGUCGAUAAUCCGACUUGUUUCCUGGCGCUUUUUCUUAUUGCAGUGAAGUCUGAUGGCGAAGCAAGUUGGUUGUGCAAGAUAAAUUGUGACUGGGGAACCUGAAUGUGUUGAUGUGCUUAUAUGCACACACACACACAAAAGAUCCUGCAUGGUAAAGUGCUUAAAGGCUGGACUAGGACUUGGGAGCCCAGGGUUCAAAUUCCCCACUCUGCCACCUACAGGGUGAGAUUGGAAUAGUCAGCCUGAGCCUAAUAUACCUCACAGGGUUGUUGUGAAGAUAAAAUGGAGAGGUGGGGGGGGGGACCAUGCGUGCAAGCUUAGGGUAGCUCAAGGUGGAGUAGAAAUGUAAAAAUAAACUUUUCCAGCUCUGCAGUAUCCUUCUGUGAAGCGAGAUGAUCAGAGCUGUACAUAUACGGUAUUCCAAAUGCAGUCUCAUCAUAGUGUUAUAGGAAUUCUAAGGUCAUAUAUAUAGAAUAAAUGUUCAUAAAUGUACAGGGCAAAUACACAUGCAUAAGUAUAGCGUCUGAAACAGUAAAGGUAAAGGGACCCCUGACCAUUAGGUCCAGCCGUGGCCGACUCUGGAGUCGCGGCGCUCAUCUCGCUUUAUUGGCCAGAGGGCAAUUCUGAAGCCAUUUUGACUCUCCCAAAUUGACCUCAAAUAUUUCUCUGCAAGGAGGAAGAAAAUGGGAAAAGCUUUCCAAUUGUCUUUGGACUGUAGGGGCUUACACCUCCCUGUAAAUACGGUCUGGCAAGUAUCUGUUAAGCUGAGCACACUAUCAAUAUGCGUAAGAGAUUCAGGAACUAAGUAUUUACCAUCUCAAAGGAAUGACCAGGCUACCCAGAAAAGGCAAUCAGAUAUCAGGUAGAAGCAACACACUCAAAUUUCUGCUGGGGACCACCUCUUUCUGUGAUGUAUGUGUGAUGUUUUGGGGGGUGGUCUUGAGGUACAGGGUAGGCAGUUUCAAAUGUCUAUAUAACAGCUUGCACACCAAUGUUCUGGGUUCCUCUCCUCCCCUGCAUGUUGCAACAGUUUAAUAAAGAUCAGGCUUACUAGCUGCUUUGCUUCUC